GACGAACGCUGGCGGCGUGCUUAACACAUGCAAGUCGAACGGAAAGGCCCUGCUUUUGUGGGGUGCUCGAGUGGCGAACGAGUGAGUAACACGUGAGUAACCUGCCCUUGACUUUUGGAUAACUUCAGGAAACUGGGGCUAAUACCGGAUAGGAGCUCCUGCUGCAUGGUGGGGGUUGGAAAGUUUCGGCGGUUGGGGAUGGACUCGCGGCUUAUCAGCUUGUUGGUGGGGUAGUGGCUUACCAAGGCUUUGACGGGUAGCCGGCCUGAGAGGGUGACCGGCCACAUUGGGACUGAGAUACGGCCCAGACUCCUACGGGAGGCAGCAGUGGGGAAUAUUGCACAAUGGGCGGAAGCCUGAUGCAGCAACGCCGCGUGCGGGAUGACGGCCUUCGGGUUGUAAACCGCUUUCGCCUGUGACGAAGCGUGAGUGACGGUAAUGGGUAAAGAAGCACCGGCUAACUACGUG
rnacentral:rRNA from 1 species